GACGAACGCUGGCGGCGUGCUUAACACAUGCAAGUCGAACGGAAAGGCCCUGCUUUUGUGGGGUGCUCGAGUGGCGAACGGGUGAGUAACACGUGAGUAACCUGCCCUUGACUUUGGGAUAACUUCAGGAAACUGGGGCUAAUACCGGAUAGGAGCUCCUGCUGCAUGGUGGGGGUUGGAAAGUUUCGGCGGUUGGGGAUGGACUCGCGGCUUAGCAGCUUGUUGGGGGGGUAGUGGCUUACCAAGGCUUUGACGGGUAGCCGGCCUGAGAGGGUGACCGGCCACAUUGGGACUGAGAUACGGCCCAGACUCCUACGGGAGGCAGCAGUGGGGAAUAUUGCACAAUGGGCGGAAGCCUGAUGCAGCAACGCCGCGUGCGGGAUGACGGCCUUCGGGUUGUAAACCGCUUUCGCCUGUGACGAAGCGUGAGUGACGGUAAUGGGUAAAGAAGCACCGGCUAACUACGUG
rnacentral:rRNA from 1 species